AGACCGAAUAUUUUUUUUUUUGGCCUAACACACACAAACAAAUACAUGAUCCCACAAAAUGGUGGUGGUUGUUAGCAACAAUUGACUUAUGAAUAUGGGCUCAAGCAACUGUAUACAGCUCAUGCCUAAAUUAAGACAGGAACCAGCCCAAUCAGCAAGUCAAGAAGUAUAAUAUAAUUAUCAACAAUAAUAAUAUGGUGAUCACAUACAUGUACCACUUUAUACCCCAGUUUCAAAGUGCUUCACAAUAUUACCCCUGUUCCUUGUGUCAUGAGACCAGUUUUCUGCAGAAGCUCAAGAUCAGUGCAAUCUGGUCUCUACCCUCACAGGCACCCCUUUAUACUCUUGGGUGGAAAGAGGCACUCCUAGUAAAGUGUCUUGCCCAAGAACACAAUCACCAUGUUCCCUGUCCCAUCACACAUGAGUCAACACCGUUACCAUUGGACCACAGCGCAUAAUUAAUAAUUAAUGAACAGCAUAAGAUCAGAAGCUUACAUGGAUAAGAAGAAACUCAGGAAGAGUUGCAGUAACACUGUGAAAAGAUCUCUUUUGAGUGGGCGACUCACCAGGUCGGCAUCAAGGUGGAAUGCUGUGGCAAGGUGGCAUCUGUUAUACUGUUCAGCUGGUCGACAGUCAACGACAAAAUAACUUACACUCUCAUUCUGCAGGAAGGCCACACCUUACAGAGUGCAUACAGGUAAGAACUUCCUCCAUCUUACCCAUACUGACGUGUAGGCAUCAGGGAAUAUCUUUUUGGUGUCGAGGAAGUU